GAUGAACGCUGGCGGCGUGCCUAAUACAUGCAAGUCGAGCGAACAGACGAGGAGCUUGCUCCUUCGACGUUAGCGGCGGACGGGUGAGUAACACGUAGGUAACCUACCUAUAAGACUGGGAUAACUUCGGGAAACCGGAGCUAAUACCGGAUAAUAUUUCGAACCGCAUGGUUCGAUAGUGAAAGAUGGCUUUGCUAACACUUCUAGAUGGACCUGCGCGGUAUUAGCUAGUUGGUAAGGUAACGGCUUACCAAGGCAACGAUACGUAGGCGACCUGGGAGGCUGAUCGGCCGCAUGGGAAGUGAGACACGGUCCAUACUCCUGCGGGAGGCAGCAGUAUGGAAUCGUCCGCAAUAGGCGAAAGCCUGACGGAGCAGCGCCGCGUGAGUGAUGAAGGUCUUCGGAGCGGAAAACUGUGUUAUUAGUGAAGAACAAACGUGUAAGUAACUGUGCACGUCUUGACGGUACCUAAUCAGAAAGCCACGGCUAACUACGUG
rnacentral:rRNA from 1 species